CACGUCCACCUCCUCCGCCGCUGCUGCCCAGGUGCCGGCGGCCAGCAGGCGGUGCACGCGCAGGUAGCUGAUGGUGAGGCGCAUGAUGGACGCCUUGUCCAGGUGGGCGCUGACCCCGCGGGCGAAGGGCAACGUGUGAGCCAGCUGGUAGAACACCUCCGUCUCACGGCUGCGCCGACAGCGGGCCGCGUCCCGGGAACGCUCCUUACGCAGCUCCGGAGUCGACCUCGCCCCGGGUCGCCCUUCCAUGGCUGCCGCCGCCACCGCCCUCUGAGCG
rnacentral:lncRNA from 1 species